CAUUCUGAGGUGCUAGGAGUUAGGAAUUUAACAUGUUUUUUUUAGCGGGAGACAGGAAGGGAGACACAUUCAAUGCAUAAUGGAGAAGAAGUUUUAUGAUGGAAACAGUACAUGAAGUUCUUAGCUGCUCAUUAGGCAUUUAGUUUAUGGUUAUUUUAAGUUUCAUAUUGCUAUAUGUUUAUUUCCUACUUCAUUUUACAGAGGAUUGGACACAGCUUGAAGAAACACAUACAAUGAGUCCCAGAACUGGGGAGGCCAUCAGAUGUGUUGCUGACACAUGCAUAACCCAGAGUGAAGUCAAAUCGUUACUGUGGAUGAAGAAGUGUCUCACUGGGACAGAACAGGAUCUCAC
rnacentral:lncRNA from 1 species